AAUUGGAAGGGUGCUUGACAAGUUGCACCUGCUCUGGAGAGUAUGGGAGCUGCUCAUAGAGUGCAAGGGAGAUGGUUCAAGCCUCCAGAGGGUGUCUUGAAGUGUAAUGUUGAUGGAAAUGUGAAUAUUGCAGGAGGUUGUGUUGGAUUUGGGGUGUUAUUGUGGGAUUCAAAUGGUAGGUUUGACACAGCCUUGACUAGUAUUGUUCAAGGCAUGCGAAUUGCAAGGGAGGCAGAAGUUAUUGCUUUAGGGAGGCUUUGGCAUGGUUAAAACGAAGUCAGCUCUCAAGGGUG
rnacentral:misc_RNA from 1 species